GCGGGCGUGGCGGAACUGGCAGACGCGACGGACUUAGGAUCCGUUGGGCAACCGUGAGAGUUCAAAUCUCUCCGCCCGCACCA
rnacentral:tRNA from 1 species